rnacentral:rRNA from 1 species
AUUGAACGCUGGCGGCAGGCUUAACACAUGCAAGUCGAGCGGGGUGAUGGUGCUUGCACUAUCACUUAGCGGCGGACGGGUGAGUAAUGCUUAGGAAUCUGCCUAUUAGUGGGGGACAACAUCUCGAAAGGGAUGCUAAUACCGCAUACGUCCUACGGGAGAAAGCAGGGGAUCACUUGUGACCUUGCGCUAAUAGAUGAGCCUAAGUCGGAUUAGCUAGUUGGUGGGGUAAAGGCCUACCAAGGCGACGAUCUGUAGCGGGUCUGAGAGGAUGAUCCGCCACACUGGGGCGUGAACACGGCCCAGACUCCUACGGGAGGCAGCAGUGGGGAAUAUUGGACAAUGGGGGGAACCCUGAUCCAGCCAUGCCGCGUGUGUGAAGAAGGCCUUAUGGUUGUAAAGCACUUUAAGCGAGGAGGAGGCUCUUUUGGUUAAUACCCAAGAUGAGUGGACGUUACUCGCAGAAUAAGCACCGGCUAACUCUGUGCCAGCCGCCGCCGUAA